UGGGGUGUAGCUCAGUGGUAGAGCAUGUGCUUAGCACACACAUGAGGCCCUGGGUUCCAUCCCCAGCCCUAA
rnacentral:tRNA from 1 species